ACUAAGCCGCACUUGCAGCUGCAAUAUCAAAAACAAAAAGAUGCAAACUUAUGUUCCUUUUUGCUUGAUAUAAGCGGUGCAUGUAGGGGGUUAUGUUUUUUUAACCAAAUAUUCCUAUCUGUGUUUUGAAGUGAUGAAAUGAUAGCUAGUGCAGACUAACAGAAAUUACCAUAAUGAAGACACUGUUAUCUAUUUAAUUUGAACAAUGAGAUUAAAAUUUGAAUUAUCUAUUCAAUUCAAUUGAUAGAAGCAUGGAAACAAACGAGGAAGCA
rnacentral:misc_RNA from 1 species